rnacentral:rRNA from 1 species
AGUGAACGCUGGCGGUAGGCCUAACACAUGCCAGUCGAACGGCAGCACAGUAAGAGCUUGCUCUUACGGGUGGCGAGUGGCGGACGGGUGAGGAAUACAUCGGAAUCUACUUUUUCGUGGGGGAUAACGUAGGGAAACUUGCGCUAAUACCGCAUACGACCUACGGGUGAAAGCAGGGGAUCUUCGGACCUUGCGCGAUUGAAUGAGCCGAUGUCGGAUUAGCUAGUUGGCGGGGUAAAGGCCCACCAAGGCGACGAUCCGUAGCUGGUCUGAGAGGAUGAUCAGCCACACUGGAACUGAGACACGGUCCAGACUCCUACGGGAGGCAGCAGUGGGGAAUAUUGGACAAUGGGCGCAAGCCUGAUCCAGCCAUACCGCGUGGGUGAAGAAGGCCUUCGGGUUGUAAAGCCCUUUUGUUGGGAAAGAAAAGCAGCAGGUUAAUACCCCGCUGUUCUGACGGUACCCAAAGAAUUAGCACCGGCUAACUUCGUG